UUUAUUUUUCAUUGCGAAAACUUCACGUACCACCCCUAUAAUUUCUCACUUUUUAACUUUAGUAACUUAUAAUUUUAUUUUUCUUUUUAUUAUCUCAUUUCACCUUUUUUUUUUUUCGUUACAACGUUAAAACUAAAGUGCACUAAAGUAAUAUUCGAUAAACAAAAUUAAAGGGUACUAAAGUAAAUAUUCGAUAAACUAUAAAUUAUGUAUCUGAAGUUUUUUAUAUAUGAUUUAACAAAAAUUAAUGGAGGGACUGACGAAAAGAAAAAAUUAAAAUCAUAGAAUACUAUAUUGAUAUACUUUAAAUCAUACAGUACAAAAGUGAGAAAGUGCGAAAUCAAGAGUGGUAUUUGAAGUUUAUUUUUUUUUCUUUGAGAGGCGUUUCGCUUGCGGA
rnacentral:lncRNA from 1 species